rnacentral:lncRNA from 1 species
UUAUUCCAUUAUAGAUGAGAAGUGUGAUACUAAUUGAAACUUGAGUGUUUACAUGUGACACAUCUUUAUGAGGAGUUCUCAGAACUGGUUACAUUAAUAUGGAUAUUUUUUCAUUAAUUUUGGCACUUUGAGAUGUCUUCCAUAUGGAAACUCAUGUUCUUCAGCUGUGGCUUCAUUCCCACAGAAGAAUAAUUUCUCAAAAUGGUUCUCCUCCACCACUCCAUGGAGAGCUGCUGUUAGAGC